rnacentral:lncRNA from 1 species
CUCCCUGAGAAAGAGCACUCCUCCUCCGAUGACGACGAACUCCUGGCCUACAGCUGCUUCAAGAAGUGUGCAAUGGAGAAGAGACAGGCGAGGGGUUUGGUGCCCCGAACGUCAGAAGGAAUUAAACAAGAAAUGAUGGCGAUGUGGGAAAGGAUCGGCGAGGUUUAGGAGUAGAGGGGAAGCAAGCAAGGAGGCUAGAGAGGGAGAGACAAGCUGUCCCUGUAAACCACCGGAAAGGCAAGCAUCACCUACCUGAACCUACCCGGAGGUCUGCGUCAACCAACUCUCCCUCGGAGAAGAAGUCUCGGGUCACCUGCUCCGGAUGGAUGGCUUUGGAGUUUGGAUCAAUAUAUUCUGUCUUUAUCCACUAAUAUUAUCUGUCUGCAUUCACUAAUACGCCGGCCUGUUGGGUGUUCUUGGCUGCAAUUGGCAUCGCUAAACAAUCGGUCGAUAAUAAUAAUAAUAAUAAUAAUACGGCCGGAGUGUGCGUCAACGAUGAUGGAUGCAGAGGCCGGGGCGGGGCUGGUUGAUCGUCCUUUUUUUAGCUAGGCGCUUUGCUUCUCUGACUUGGGUUCGUUUUUUGGCGAUGUGUUUCGGCAGCAAUGCCUGUGGAGCCUGUGGAAGAAGGAACUGGGAAGGGAGGGGAAGCAUUG